GAAUAUGACCCCAGAUUUCCAGAUUGGGUUCUGGCCGCCGGAGCGGUCGGCGGCUGCAUGCCGGCACGGAUGCCGAACAGCGAGACGACGACAUAUACCUCCAUGGUUGAGAGGAGGUUCACGCCCUUGAUGUUCUUCGGUGCCUCAAUCGCGGAAGCCGACGCCGAGCAGCCAGGUCACCCGUUAUAGGAUGGAGCACCGUGUCGUCGACUAUGUUGCUCCAUCGCUCGCGGAGCUGCACCAUCAGUUGAGGGAAUAAUUUGUUUCGUUGGUCGCCGUUGUGUAUUGUCUCCAUGGCGCUCAUCCGACCGGUGCGCGGUGAUGCAGCAGCGAUGCCGCUGUUGUUCGUGCUCUCUCGUUGAUGUGAAGAAGAUGACGCGAUCGUCCUCCUCGCUUGUAUCUUCUUUUCUUUUCAAUUGAUGGCACUCGUGUGAGUGUGUGUUCAUACAUAAGAAAAACAACCAUUGCUAGAUUAAAGGUCGAUUGUACAGAAAUAGAUAGUACAGAAAUA
rnacentral:lncRNA from 1 species